CAUAAAAUAGAGUUUGUUGUCACAUGACCAUGGGCCUCAUUUAUAAAAAUGUUCUUAGAUUUAUACUUGAACUUAGUCUUAAGAUCAUUUCCGACGGUGUGCUUACGUUCGAUUCAUAAAAGAUACUGAGCGUGGGGCAGCAAGACAUAACUGUGGCUGAUCUGAAAAAGAAGUGGUCUGACCUUAAACUGCAAGGGGAAAAAAAUAGCCAUACAUAACCAGCAGGAAAAUCACUUACGUCAAGUCUAGACUUUGCGUAGAGAUAAGAUCAUUUCCAUGUCAAA